UUGAAUCCUUAGGAUGUUGCUGGCCUUUUUCGAGGCAUGUGCACUCCGCCUUUCAAUACACCUGUGAACUUAUUGUAGGUUGCAGAUGUAACAAUCUGUUGCCUAUGUUUUUAACACACUCUUAAAAUGUAUACUGAAUGUCUAAAUAUGGCCUUUGAUGGUCAAUAAACAUAAUA
rnacentral:misc_RNA from 1 species